GUUAGGAAUAUUGGACAAUGGGCGAAAGCCUGAUCCAGCCAUGCCGCGUGAACGAUGAAGGCCUUCGGGUUGUAAAGUUCUUUAGCCGAUGAUUAUAAUGACUGUAGUCGGAAAAUAAGCCCCGGCUAACUUCGUGCCAGCAGCCGCGGUAAUACGAAGGGGGCGAGCGUUAUUCGGAAUCACUGGGCGUAAAGCGUGCGUAGGCGGUUUUGUAAGUUAGGAGUGAAAGCCCAGGGCUCAACCUUGGAAUUGCUCUUAAAACUGCAAGGCUAGAAUCUCGGAGAGGAUAGCGGAAUUUCCAGUGUAGCAGUGAAAUGCGUAGAUAUUGGAAGGAACACCAGUGGCGUAAGCGGCUAUCUGGACGAGUAUUGACGCUGAGGCACGAAAGCGUGGGGAUCAAACAGGAUUAGAAACCCGAGUAGUCC
rnacentral:rRNA from 1 species